GGGUUGUGAGGUUAAGCGACUAAGCGUACACGGUGGAUGCCCUGGCAGUCAGAGGCGAUGAAGGACGUGCUAAUCUGCGAUAAGCGUCGGUAAGGUGAUAUGAACCGUUAUAACCGGCGAUUUCCGAAUGGGGAAACCCAGUGUGUUUCGACACACUAUCAUUAACUGAAUCCAUAGGUUAAUGAGGCGAACCGGGGGAACUGAAACAUCUAAGUACCCCGAGGAAAAGAAAUCAACCGAGAUUCCCUCAGUAGCGGCGAGCGAACGGGGAGCAGCCCAGAGCCUGAAUCAGUGUGUGUGUUAGUGGAAGCGUCUGGAAAGGCGCGCGAUACAGGGUGACAGCCCCGUACACAAAAAU
rnacentral:rRNA from 1 species